rnacentral:rRNA from 1 species
GACGAACGCUGGCGGCGUGCUUAACACAUGCAAGUCGAACGGUGACGAGGAGCUUGCUCCUCUGAUCAGUGGCGAACGGGUGAGUAACACGUGAGCAACCUGCCCAGACUCUGAGAUAACAGUUGGAAACAGCUGCUAAUACCGGAUACGAGACGGAGAGGCAUCUCUACCGUCUGGAAAGUUUUUCGGUCUGGGAUGGACUCGCGGCCUAUCAGCUAGUUGGUGAGGUAAUGGCUCACCAAGGCGACGACGGGUAGCCGGCCUGAGAGGGCGACCGGCCACACUGGGACUGAGACACGGCCCAGACUCCUACGGGAGGCAGCAGUGGGGAAUAUUGCACAAUGGGCGAAAGCCUGAUGCAGCGACGCCGCGUGAGGGAUGAA